rnacentral:lncRNA from 1 species
GGACAAUGUGUCUAGGGGACACUGAGAAGCACAACUUGGCUGGAGCAGAUGGAUGUGUUUUGAGGACAAGAGAUGGGUAUGGAGAAGUGGAGUGGAGUCUUGCUGGGGAAUGCUCCUCAUACCAAGUAAAGGAGUUUGGUCCUCAAGUGAUGGCCUGGCUAACACUAUGGCUCAUAGAAUCAUCUGCUGCUUGGAUUCCUUGCUGCUGCCAAUUAUGAGAAUGUUCUGGAAGUUCAAAACUUUUAUGUACACCUGGGAAUUUGGCCUCGUGAACCUCCUCUUGCUCUUGGGCCUUGUGUGUUUCUGAGGAUUCAAAAUAGCCAUUCUCUUGGAUGAGCUCAUAUGAAAAAUGGCUACCACCUUUGGAAGGCAAAUGGUGCUCUCCUUUGCCGAGGGUACUAUCUCAUACAGAAUGAAAGCCAGUGGCGUCUGAGAUGUUUGUUUCCCGGAUCAUUGGCCUUAAAGUGAGCAUUUCUAGCUGCUUUUGAAACUAGUGAUGUUGCAAAGGGGAGCUUACAAAUUGCAUAUUGGA